GGGGAUGUGGGGAAGCUUGGUAUCCUUUCAGGUUUGGGACCUGACGUCCUGGGUUCGAAUCCCAGCAUCCCCA
rnacentral:tRNA from 1 species